rnacentral:rRNA from 1 species
GUCCACGCCCUAAACGAUGUCGACUGGUUGUUGGGGGUUUGACACUCUCAGUAACGAAGCUAACGCGUGAAGUCGACCGCCUGGGGAGUACGGCCGCAAGGUUAAAACUCAAAGGAAUUGACGGGGACCCGCACAAGCGGUGGAUUAUGUGGAUUAAUUCGAUGCAACGCGAAAAACCUUACCUACCCUUGACAUGUCCUGGAGGCUCCAGAGAUGGGGCUGUGCCCGAAAGGGAACGGGAACACAGGUGCUGCAUGGCUGUCGU